rnacentral:rRNA from 1 species
UAGGGAAUCUUCGGCAAUGGACGAAAGUCUGACCGAGCAACGCCGCGUGAGUGAAGAAGGGUUUCGGAUCGUAAAACUCUGUUGUUAGAGAAGAACAAGGACGUUAGUAACUGAACGUCCCCUGACGGUAUCUAACCAGAAAGCCACGGCUAACUACGUGCCAGCAGCCGCGGUAAUACGUAGGUGGCAAGCGUUGUCCGGAUUUAUUGGGCGUAAAGCGAGCGCAGGCGGUUUCUUAAGUCUGAUGUGAAAGCCCCCGGCUCAACCGGGGAGGGUCAUUAGAAACUGGGCUACUUGAGUGCAGAAGAGGAGAGUGGAAUUCCAUGUGUAGCGGUGAAAUGCGUAAAUAUAUGGAGGAACACCAGUGGCGAAGGCGGCUCUCUGGUCUAUAACUGACGCUGAGGCUCGAAAGCGUGGUGAGCAAACAGG